GAUGAACGCUGGCGGCGUGCCUAACACAUGCAAGUCGAACGGAAAGGCCCUGCUUUUGUGGGGUGCUCGAGUGGCGAACGGGUGAGUAACACGUGAGUAACCUGCCCUUGACUUUGGGAUAACUUCAGGAAACUGGGGCUAAUACCGGAUAGGAGCUCCUGCUGCAUGGUGGGGGUUGGAAAGUUUCGGCGGUUGGGGAUGGACUCGCGGCUUAUCAGCUUGUUGGUGGGGUAGUGGCUUACCAAGGCUUUGGCGGGUAGCCGGCCUGAGAGGGUGACCGGCCACAUUGGGACUGAGGUACGGCCCAGACUCCUACGGGAGGCAGCAGUGGGAAAUAUUGCACAAUGGGCGGAAGCCUGAUGCAGCAGCGCCGCGUGCGUGAUGACGGCCUUCGGGUUGAAAACCGCUUUCGCUUGUGACGAAGCGUGAGUGACGGUAAUGGGUAAAGAAGCACCGGCUAACUACGUG
rnacentral:rRNA from 1 species